UUGAAGAGGUAGCCAACAUUGUUUUUUUUUAAUUUGGGUAGCCCCCAAAAUAUUGGGACAUAUAAAAAAAGACAACUCUGUUCCGCAGAGUAGCUGUCGACAUUAUAGUUGCGCCGGCACUUUGUUGACUCUAGAGAACCUUGGGACAAUCGCACAUCCCCAUGACGGCAACUUUGCAUUCGGAUGUCAUCCAUAUCAACUUUCGAUGCCAGUUUCUGCGCCUACCAUGGUGACCCCAGGGAAUCAGGGUUCCAUUCCGUACAGGGACCCUGAGAAAUGGCUACCACAUGCAAGGAAGGCAGCAAGGGCGCAAAUGACCCACUCCCGAUGCGGGAAGGUAGUGACAA